rnacentral:rRNA from 1 species
UACGUAGGUGGCAAGCGUUGUCCGGAAUUACUGGGCGUACAGCGCGCGCAGGCGGACCGCCACGUGCCGUGUGACAAGCCACUGCUCAACAGUGGAGGGCCAGGGUACACGAGCGGUCUGGAGGCAGGGAGAGGGAUGUGGAAUGCCCGGUGGAGCGGUGAAAUGCGUAGAGAUCGGGCGGAACACCAGCGGCGAAGGCGGCAUCCUGGUCCUGUUCUGACGCUGAGGCGCGAGAGCGUGGGGAGCGAACUGG